rnacentral:lncRNA from 1 species
GAGUAGUGGGCGGUGAUCUUUGUUCUUUGGAAAGAAGCGUUAGGGAACCUGUGGCUUCUAGGACGUUAAGAACAUGGGAACCUGAAAGGCAAGGAGAACAAGAAGCCCAGACUGCUCCUAAGGCAGUGCUUCCUAAGGCAGUGGCUCUCAGUCUUCCUGAUGCUGCGUCCCUUUAAUACAGCUCCUCAUGGUGUGGUGACCCCAACCAUAAAAUUAUUUUAUUGCUACUUUAUGACUUUAAUUUUGCUAUCUUUAUGAACUGUAAUGUAAAUUUCUGUGUUUUCCCAUGGUCUUCUGCAAUCCCCGUGAAAGGGGUUGAGUCUCGAUUCACAGGUUGAGAACCCCUGUCCUAAGGGCUGGGACAAGCCUGCGAAGCUGGUAACGGGAGGUCCCAGAACCGCCGUUCUAAGACACUUCAGCCAUGUAAAUAAGAAGGAAACUUAGCCUCUACAACCCUGAGGACCUCAUGUGGCCAGUAGCUCUCAGUAGGCUGAUGAAACCCCUUCCUCUUCCUCAGUCCUGAUGGGACUCCAGUCUCUGGAGCCCUGCUGUAAAAAUCCUGAGAGUGUCAAGACACCUAAGGUGGACUCAGCUCCCGCCACGAUCAGAAGUAUCCGUGCUGCCUGCUCAGAGGAGGCCAGGGAGGCUGGAAGUGGCCCUAACAACAGCACCCACGACCCGGUCGCCCAAGUUCUCAGAAAUUAGAAAGCACUGCGUGCUAAACCACGUUGAUUGCUCCAUAAACCGACUCUCUUAAUGCAUAAACAGCAGUGUGAACUGAGCACUGAUGGCUACCGAUCUUGAAGGGACCCACUCGCGUGGACAGUUAAUGUCAUGUUGAGGAGACGCGAGAAAAGCACUCCCAGACAAUGAGUGGUUCUUGACAUACACGCAACUUGCCAAGUCCUUGCAAUGUUUCUUUCUGACAGCAGGGGGAGCCAACACCUGGUAAACGCCCGGGCACACUAAACCUUGCCGGUGCAGAAGAAACGGACAAAGAAACAACCAGGAAAUGAUACCUUGGAAAGAACUGCAACCCAAACAGGCUGGAGAUGGAGGCAGCUCAGGCCCAGGUUUUGUAGAUGUUACGGCCCAGAUUAUUGAUCCCCGAGUAAAGCAAAUGUCAGCUGGGAAAGUCCAGGCUGGCCUUUAGGGUGACCGUGGCUCUGUACCCCAGACAAGCACAGUCUAUUUCCUCUUUCUUUCAGUUGUAACUGAGCUCACUCAGGUCAGGGCUAAGCCAAGCUCAGAA